GAAUCAGCCUCGGCUAACUCCGUGCCAGCAGCCGCGGUAAUACGGAGGAGGCAAGCGUUAUCCGGAAUUACUGGGCGUAAAGCGUCCGUAGGUGGUUGUUCAAGUCCAUUGUCAAAGCGUGAGGCUUAACCUCAUACGGGCAGUGGAAACUGAGUGGCUAGAGUGCGACAGGGGCAAGGGGAAUUCCUAGUGUAGCGGUGAAAUGCGUAGAGAUUAGGAAGAACACCGGUGGCGAAAGCGCCUUGCUGGGUCUGCACAGACACUGAGGGACGAAAGCUAGGGGAGCGAAAGGGAUUAGAUACCCCUGUAGUCCUAGCCGUAAACGAUGGACACUAGGUGUUGCGCGUAUCGACCCGUGCAGUGCCGUAGCUAACGCGUUAAGUGUCCCGCCUGGG
rnacentral:rRNA from 1 species